UGUAGAUUAAACAUGAACGGGCCAAAACGGACAUGGCAGCAGGUCAAAAUCAAAUACAAGAACAUUCUGCAGAAUGCAGUGAAAAAGAAUACCCACAGACAAGGCACGGGUGGUGGGUCACCAAAGGCUGACCUUACCCCAGCAGAGGACAUGGCCUUGGAGCUAAAUAAAGGCAGGCCCGUCUUAGAGGGGAUCCCUAGGGGGAAAGAGACGAGCAUAGGUUCCUCCCAAGAUGCCACCCGCUUCAUUCAAGUGUCUGGCAGCACUGUGUUCCUGUUAGAGCCACCAGCACAAGCA